GUGGACCCGAGUAGCAUGGGGCACGUGAAAUCCCGUGUGAAUCAGCGAGGACCACCUCGUAAGGCUAAAUAUUACUGAAUAACCGAUAGUGAAACAGUACCGUGAGGGAAAGGUGAAAAGAACCCCGGGAGGGGAGUGAAAUAGAACAUGAAACCGUAAGCUUACAAGCAGUGGAAGAACGACUUAACGUUUGACCUCGUGCCUGUUGAAGAAUGAGCCGGCGACUUGUAUGUAGUGGCAGGUUAAAGCAGAGAAUGCUGGAGCCAUAGUGAAAGCGAGCUUGAAUAGAGCGAUAGUCACUAUUUACAGACCCGAACCCGGAUGAUCUAGCCAUGGCCAGGAUGAAACUUAGGUAACACUAAGUGGAGGUCCGAACCGACUGAUGUUGAAAAAUCAACGGAUGAGCUGUGGCUAGCGGUGAAAUACCAAUCGAAUUCGGAGCUAGCUGGUUCUCCCCGAAAUGCGUUGAGGCGCAGCGGUUGAAAUUAAACUUAGGGGUAAAGCACUGUUUCGGUGCGGGCUGCGAAAGUGGUACCAAAUCGAUGCAAACUAAGAAUACUAAGUGAUGAAUCAAUCAGUGAGACAGUGAGGGAUAAGCUUCAUUGUCAAAAGGGAAACAGCCCAGACCACCAGUUAAGGCCCCUAAAUAGUUACUAAGUGGCAAAGGAGGUGGGAAUGCAUUAACAACCAGGAGGUUUGCUUAGAAGCAGCAAUCCUUUAAAGAGUGCGUAAUAGCUCACUGGUCUAGUGAUCCUGCGCCGAAAAUGAACGGGACUAAGUAACUUGCCGAAUCUGUGGGAUGUUUAUGCAUCGGUAGGGGAGCGUUCUGCUUAGAUUGAAGCAUUAAUGAAAGUGGAUGUGGACAAAGCAGAAGUGAGAAUGUCGGCUUGAGUAGCGAAAACAUUGGUGAGAAUCCAAUGCCCCGAAAACCUAAGGAUUCCUCUGGAA
rnacentral:rRNA from 1 species